rnacentral:rRNA from 1 species
AGAGUUUGAUCCUGGCUCAGAGCGAACGCUGGCGGCAGGCCUAACACAUGCAAGUCGAGCGGCCGUAGCAAUACGGCAGCGGCAGACGGGAGAGUAACACGUGGGAACGCGCCCUUCGGUUCGGGAUAACCCAGGGAAACUUGGGCUAAUACCGGAUACGCCCUUACGGGGAAAGAUUUAUUGCCGAAGGAACGGCCCGCGUCCGAUUAGCUAGUUGGUGAGGUAACGGCUCACCAAGGCGACGAUCGGUAGCUGGUCUGAGAGGAUGACCAGCCUCACUGGGACUGAGACACGGCCCAGACUCCUACGGGAGGCAGCAGUGGGGAAUAUUGGACAAUGGGCGCAAGCCUGAUCCAGCCAUGCCGCGUGGGUGAUGAAGGCCCUAGGGUUGUAAAGCCCUUUCAGCGGGGAAGAUAAUGACGGUACCCGCAGAAGAAGCCCCGGCUAACUUCGUGCCAGCAGCCGCGGUA